CCAAUGAAUGUUUUUGAAGAAAAUGUGGAAUUGGAUGACGAGGGAAACAAGAAAUUCAAAUGACAUCCAUUAACCACUGAAGAAGAAAAAAACAAGCCCAUUGAUGAGACCAAAAUCAAAUGAUCCGGCUUGGAAAUAUGGGGUUGUGGUGAAUAAAGACUCAAACAAGGUGAAGUGUCUUUUCUGCCAUUUCAUUUCGAAAGCGGGGAUUGCUUGGUUGAAAGGGCAUAUCAUUGGAGGCGACCGCAAUUGCGUGAAGUGUCUAAGAUCAACAAAAUUUGUUCGAAAUGAAGUGCUUCAGUAUGAGAAUACGAGGAAGGCUAAAACAAUGGCAAUGAAAAUGUCUAAGAAAGUUGUGGACGAAGAAUCUGAUGAUGAUGAUGUAUUGAUAGUUGAAGAUGAUUCUUCACUUCCGAAGAGAGCAAAGAAGCGGUCAACUAUUG
rnacentral:lncRNA from 1 species